AUGCCCCUGCCAAAAACACUUAAGGAAAUCACUAGGAAGUUUUAAAGGAGUGAGUCAUUAGUCUCGGACUUCCAAACCUAGAAGGAGCGAGGUCUGAUACUAGCUUCAUUUCUCUGGAUGAGAAAUUGACGCAGCAAAUUGAACUAAAAGCCGCAGAAACAAAACAUCACAAAGUACCCAGAGUGACUGGCGACAUUAGUGACAGGUACUCUGGACAGAUGGAGGGAUGAGCUCUGCCUCUGAGGUUUGCUGUCCCAUCAGGCCUGUGGAUUGAGGAUCUCCUGAUUCCCACCCCCAGCCCAGCUGAAGCGGCCCCCUGUUCAUCGGGACCCUAUCAAAGGGUCAUCUUGCAGUUUCGGGCCCCAGAUUACCGCACCGAACGUCUGCAGUCCCCUACAGCGGGGAUUGCAGUGACUCCGUGCAGUGGGCCACUUCCUGCUAUCUGAGCGGACUUCGCACAGAGAACUCCAGUGCCGGCACUGUCCUCCCGGGAGCGGGCUCGGUGCCAGCUGGAUCAGCGCGCGGGAUGCAGCGCCGCGAUUCCGCCCCGCCCCGUUUUCCCUCUCCCCCGUUCUUCCCUCGUCCUCUCAGCACGCGUGUCUCGGCCUUCAUGGAGAGCGGAGGGGAAUCGAGAAAGAUCUGCGGGGUGGCAGAUGGGCCCAGAGCCAUCAAUGGUAGCGAAACGGCGGACGGCGUGAAAGGAAACGCAUGCAACCGGUCCUCCUAACGGCAGGAGCGGGAAUGCGGAGUCUGGCUGUGCCGGCUGAUGUCACGUGGGGAGUCGCGAGCUCUGGAACGCGUCCAUCUUCCUAACUCCUCGGGACGGCUCUGGCAUUUCUUCAUGCCGACGGAUCAUUUCACGUAUCACAUGUUUCAGGGCACUUCUUCUCCUCUCUGCCUUUUCCUGACGCCUCAUUCCCUGGUCAGGCGGCACACGGAGAUCCCCCGCUGCCCCGAGAAGCCACCUCACCUCAGCUGGAUUAGCACCACCACCCCCCACCCCCCUCCGGAAUGUUGAUGCUCUGUUGCUGUGGAAUUCUGGGCAAUAUGUGGAGUGUCUGACUGGUGAGAUCUAGGUGAGUGCACACUGCGGUCCAAACACAGGCCCGCCAG